UGUAGCAAGAGAAGCGCUUAUACGAUACUAUUUAUAAUUUGAUAUUGGAAAGAAAUUUGUUAAACGCUGCUUUAGAUUUGAACAUCACGACUAAUAUAGCUUUGAUUUAUUGCAUUUGUGUACAAAACUGCUAUUCAUUUAGACUGUAAAAUUAUUUAAAUUUUACCUGACUGAAACUUGAUGCCACACUCUUUUCUAGGAGACACUACUACCGCUACUCUCCUACGGUGCCCUAAAUGGGUGUAACUUCUACCGCUACCUUCGUACGGUGCCCUAAAUGAGAGUCUUUAUGGAUCCUUUGUUGGAUUAAGCAUUGGCUAAUCCUGAGAUGGUCAAGUUUAUCAAUAAGGACCAACUGGAGACGUUCCAUGGUACUGGUGGAGUGCGUAUUGAGGAUGAUGUUUUGAUUACUGAAGAUGGAUGUGUCAACUGGACUAAAGUUCCAAGAACUGUCCAAGAAAGUGAAGAUUGGAUUGCCGGUGUUGAUGAUGAUUCCAAACACGAUUGAAUGAAUUUACACCAUCUUGAAGCUGUUAUUGUUAUAAUUUUUGUUUAUUUUCUUAAAAGUUGUUAAAAAGGCAUUAUAUAAUUGCAUAUUAUUAUCCUGUUUUCUUGCUUGUAUUGUUGAAAAUAUUGAGAAAUUGAGUUUGGGAUUGUGUAUAUUCUACAUGUUUGAAUAAAAUUGUAGUUUUAUAUUUUUGACUAUAAA